UCACCAAUCAAUAUUCCCACUAUCUCAUUCCCACUAUCCCACUAUCUUAACUCAUCCUACAAUUACUCCUACAAAUUCUUCUUUUACUGAUCGACUUAAUUAACUUAUCGAGUUAAUUCUCUCACCCUUUCUCUCAGUUUCUUAUUUGUUUUGGGUUCUCUAUUGAUUUUGUAAAUGUAUUGAUUUUGUUUCUUUUGUGAGCAGUAGUUGAAGAUAUUAUGUGCAGAGACUCCAGCAGAAAUCAACCUUCUUGCGGCCGGCUUAAUUUUCCAGAUCAAAGAAAUGAAAAAUCUAACUGUCCUCAAGAUCGCCAGACAUCCACAUCACCAAUGAUUUUGCGUGAUCAUGGUAAAUAUACAGUUUCUUAUAUCGUCAUACUCAUCUUGCAUACACACUUUUUGGCUGCACUAUCUUGCUAAAUCAACUAUAGAUACAAUACAAUACAAUUGUAUUACAAUUGUUCGAUUACAAUACAAUUGUAUUACAUUCUAUUGAUGCUAUUUAUAGACAACUUAGCAAUUUUAUAGAUUAGCAAUUUAUUUUAUUUUAUAGAUUACCAAUUACUACAUGUACCAAAAUAUUUUUUUAUAGGGAUUACUUCAUUAACUAUGGGUGCUAAUAACAAUUCAAUUGGUGCGUAUUUUUCA